rnacentral:rRNA from 1 species
AUGCUCCGCCUCCACAAAUACAUCCUCACCCAACUCCUCCCUUCUUCCCCCGCUUCCACCAUCUCCCCUCUCCACCGCCUCAUCUCCGCCGUCGCGCCCGCCGUUUUCCCCAACCCUAGCUUCGCCGUCGAGGACUACCUCGUCGCCACCUGCGGCCUCACCCGACCACAGGCCGCCAAGGCCUCCGCCAGGCUCUCCCACCUCAAAUCCCCCGCUAAGCCCGACGCCGUCCUCUCCUUCCUCGCCGGUCUCGGCCUCUCCACCGCCGAUGUCGCAGCCCUCGUCGCCAAGGACCCCAAGUUCCUCUGCGCCAAAGUGGAGAAAACCCUGGCCCCCAACGUCGCGGAGCUCAGUCGCGGCCGCUUCCGCAGUAGAUCCAUCCUCUCCAAGCUGCACUACUACCUGCCUCUCUUCGACUCCUCCGAGGGCCUCUUCCGGGUGCUCAAGCGCGGCGCCGGCCUUCUCUCGGCCGACCUCGAGCGGGUGGUCAAGCCCAAUGCUGCGUUCCUUCGGGAGUGCGGGCUAAGUGAUUGCCACAUUGUCAAGUUGUGCAUCGUUCAGCCAUGGCUGCUCCCCUCCAGCAUGGAGCGCAUCCGGGCAAUGGUGGCACGUGCUGAAGGUAUUGGUGUGCCUCGUGGCUGUAAGAUGUUCAGACACGCGUUGCAUGCUGUUGCACGCCUCAGCAACGAGAAGAUCGCCACCAAAGUGGAGCACUUGAAGAAGACAUUUAUGUGGUCAGAUGCUGUGGUCGGCAUUGUUGUCUCCAAGUUUCCAUCUGUGCUGUUGAGGUCUAACCAGAUGCUGCAGAGCAAGUCAGAGUUCCUCGUCUCUGAGGUCGGGCUGGAACCGACAUACAUUGCUCAUCGUCCAGUAAUGCUUAGUUACAGCCUAGAGGGCCGACUCAGGCCCCGGCACUACGUUGUAAAGUUUCUCAAGGAAAAUGGAUUGCUAGAUCGUGACCGGGACUAUUAUAGAGCAGUCAUGAUCAGCGAGAAAGAAUUUGUGGAGAAGUUCAUAUGCCCUCACAAGGAAGCUGCACCACACCUUGCUGAAGACUAUGCAGCAGCUUGCAGAGGGGAAGUGCCUUCCAGUUUCAGAUUUACAUAA